rnacentral:rRNA from 1 species
GAAAGUAAGCAAGGGCAGACGGUGGAUGCCUUGGCUCUCGGAGGCGACGAAGGACGUGAUAAGCUGCGAAAAGCUCGGGGGAGGCGCAAAUAGCCCUUGAUCCCGGGAUAUCCGAAUGGGGCAACCCGGCAGGCUGAAGGCCUGCCAUCCCGUAAGGGAGGCGAACGUGGGGAACUGAAACAUCUAAGUACCCAUAGGAGGAGAAAAUAAACAAUGAUUCCGUAAGUAGUGGCGAGCGAACACGGAAGAGCCCAAACCCAUGUCGUCUAGGCGACACGGGGGUUGUAGGACCACGACGUGGCAAGAGGAUGGCAAGUGGAACGCCUUGGAAAGGGCGACCGUAGAGGGUGAUAGUCCCGUACACGACUGCCUGCCGAAGCCUAGUGGCAUCCUGAGUAGCGCGGGGCACGAGAAAUCUUGCGUGAAACUGCGGGGCCCAUCCCGUAAGGCUAAAUACUCCCGAGAGACCGAUAGCGAACCAGUACCGUGAGGGAAAGGUGAAAAGAACCCCGAGCAGGGGAGUGAAAUAGACCCUGAACCCGUCUGCCUACAAGCGGUCGGAGCAUCGUCAAGAUGUGACGGCGUGCCUUUUGCAUAAUGAACCUACGAGUUACCUUCCCCGGCAAGGUUAAGUACCUAAGGUACGGAGCCGAAGCGAAAGCGAGUCUGAAGAGGGCGGCCAGUCGGGGGGGGUAGACGCGAAACCGAGUGAUCUACCCUUGGCCAGGUUGAAGGUUGGGUAACACCAACUGGAGGACCGGAUGGGUAAGCGUUGAAAAGCUUUCCAAUGAGCUGAGGGUAGGGGUGAAAGGCUAAUCAAACUCGGAGAUAGCUCGUACUCCCCGAAAUGCAUUUAGGUGCAGCCUCUUUAUAGUAUAUCGUGAGGUAGAGCGACUGAUUGGAUGCGAGGGCUUCACCGCCUAUCAAGUCCAGAUAAACUCCGAAUGCGCGAUAUAUAUUUACAGGGAGUGAGGGCGCGGGUGCUAAGGUCCGUGUCCGAGAGGAGAAGAAUCCAGACCACCGGCUAAGGCCCCCAAAUGAUCGUUGAGUUGAACUAACGAGGUCGGAUCGCAGAGACAGCUAGGAUGUUGGCUUGGAAGCAGCCAUUCAUUUAAAGAGUGCGUAACAGCUCACUAGUCGAGCGAUCUGGCGUGGAUAAUAAUCGGGCAUAAACGAUCUGCCGAAGCCGUGGAUGUCGUAAGACAUGGUAGGGGAGCAUUCCAUGCGGCGUCGAAGAUGAGGGAUGACCCUUGUUGGAGCGCAUGGAAAAGCAAAUGUAGGUAUGAGUAACGAUAAGGGGGGCGAGAAACCCCCCCGCCGAAAGACCAAGGUUUCCUGAUCAACGCUAAUCGGAUCAGGGUGAGUCGGGACCUAAGGCAAAGCCGAACGGCGACGCCGAUGGAAGAAUGGGUUAAUAUUCCCAUACUGCCUCAUGGAGUGACGUGGAGACGGAGAAGUGACAGUCCUGCCGGCUGACGGAAUAGCCGGUUGAAGGGUGUAGAUAUUGAUUCCCGUAGGCAAAUCCGCGGGGAGAGUCGAACCUGACAGUAUACCGAGUACUUGUACGAGGUAAUAUGGACGUAACCAUGCUCCCAAGAAAAUCCGCUAAACUUAUCCAUGCGGCACCCGUACCGUAAACGGACACACGUGGUCGGGUUGAGAAUACUGAGGCGCUCGAGUGACUCACGGUUAAGGAACUAGGCAAAUUGACCCUGUAACUUCGGGAUAAAGGGUCCUCGUCGUAAGGCGAGGCGCAGAGAAUAGGUCCAGGCAACUGUUUAACAAAAACACAUGGCUGUGCUAAAUGGAAACAUGACGUAUACAGCCUGACACCUGCCCGGUGCUGGAAGGUUAAGAGGAGAUGUCAUCGCGAGAGAAGCGUUGAAUUGAAGCCCCAGUAAACGGCGGCCGUAACUAUAACGGUCCUAAGGUAGCGAAAUUCCUUGUCGGGUAAGUUC